ACGCACCAGCAGGGACAAAGAGGAAGUCCACAGAAAAAGUAGGAUUCGCCAACUUUCGGUGGACACAACAUCUUUUUAUUUUUUAUUUUUAUGUGGUGCUGAGGAUGGAACCCAGCGCCGGCACAUGCCAGGGGAGCCCAUUACCGCUUGAGCCACAUCCCCAGUCCUUGCCAGUUUUAAAAAAGGACUGUGACCUGGUAACCUUUGGCAUUCCGGUGGCCCCCUUGGCAGAGGGGUUCCUGCGACACCAACAGCGCGACCUGCGCAGGGACCCCCGCCUUUCCUGCCUGUCUGUAGGCACCGGGACGGAUCCGGGGAGCCCUGGUGUGGGUUCCCUGCUUCUUCAGCCCCCUYCCCAUCUGCAGAGCMCAGAGGACCUGGAGGUGCUGACCUCACCGCAGCGUCUCCGCCCGCUGGCCAGGGCCAGGCCACCUCCCAUACUUCGCACUGACAGGAGACUCUGUUCAGGAGGUGAACACUGGCCUCUGGCCUCCUGGCCUCCCCACAGCUGGCGUGGGCCCGGGCCCAGCAGUGGGGAAGUGCUGCCUUUCUUCCCACACGCCCGGCUCAGGUCACCAGCCACUGCUCUGUUUUUGGGUGCUUGGCAGAGACACGGGAGGGGAGCAGAGGGCGCCCAGAGCACGGUGAGAGGGCAGGGAAGGCCGCCCGCCCGCCAGGUCAGGAGGGAGUGUGGCACAUUCCCAGUGACAGUGCACAUMAGCACAAGGACCUCGUGAGGGCAACAGCUGGCACCUGGCUCUUCUGAAAAGGAGCCUCAGAGCCCAGGGAAGCAGUCGGGGCCUUGGGAGGGACAGGCCACCUGCCACACUCCUCUCCCAAGAUCAGGGGCCUGGGCAGGAGAGGGCAGGGUGGACGGUCUGCCGGGGAGGCGCACAGCACGUCACAGGCAGGAAGCCACCUCAGCCCCAUGCCGGGGGCUGGUGGUGGCUCAUGGCCAGGCUCACUGUGGGGCUUCGAAGGUAUCACUAGCCCUGAGCAAGGUGGGCCUGAAGGACAGAUCGAAGGCCGUCUGGCUGCUGAAGCUCUGGGCUUUGUAUUUUGCCAGGGGCCCUGACCUGUGGUGCCCACCCUCUGACAGGUCWCUCUCGGCCCCGGGUGUGUUUGGGAGCCCCGUCUGGGCUGGGAGUUGGGGGACUGGGCAGCCCCCAGCAUCGGGUGUGGGCUGGGCAGAGCUGCCUGCGGGCUCCGGGCCAGAGGCUGCCGCCCUCCUCCCGGCCAGGGUCCUGCUUCCUGGGGUGGGUGGCGGGGCCCUGGGGCGCCCCUGGCCACUGGCCCUGUGCGGAGCCCUCUGGGGUUCCCCACCGGCCCCUGCGGCACGUGCUCUGUCAGCUGAGCSGUCAGGCUGCCCCCAGGCCUGGGACACCGUCCCCCCGGCCCUUCCCUGUGUGGUCAGGCUGCAGGACCCCCCAGGCGUCCCUGAGGGAGUGGCUGGGCUCCUGUCAGCCUUGGGGCCACCUUCCUGAGCCAGGUUCCUCACCUGCUUCACUGAGGGGCCCAGUGGGUGCUCCUGGCCCCUGGCCCUGGGCUGGCAGGGCUUCUCCAUGGCUGCUGCCCUCUGUCCUCCUGCCCGGUCCUGAGCAGCCUGUGCCCGGGACUCUGCUGCACCCAGCCCAGCCUUCUCGCCCCCUGGCRCUGCCCCUCUCUGUCCAGAACCGUCUGGCGCUUGAGUCUGGGGUGGCCUCUCGAGCCCUGUGGCACCCUCCUCUGGCUUCCCCA
rnacentral:lncRNA from 1 species